rnacentral:misc_RNA from 1 species
AACUUUCGACAAUGGAUCACUUGGUUCUGGCAUCGAUGAAGAACGCAGCGAAAUGCGAUAAGUAAUGCCAAUUGCAGAAUUCAGUGAGUCAUCGAAUCUUUGAACGCACAUUGCGCCCCUUGGUAUUCCGAGGGGCAUGCCUGUUCGAGCGUCAUUAUAACCCUCAAGCCUAGCUUGGUAUUGAGGUCGCUAUCCAGCGGCCCCUAAAAUCAGUGGCGGUGCCCGUAGGUUCUACGCGUAGUAAUUUUUCUCGCUAUGGAUCCCUAUAGGCACUUGCCAACAACCCCAACUUUUUCAGGUUGACCUCGGAUCAGGUAGGGAUACCCGCUGAACUUAAGCAUAUCAAUAAGCGGAGGCU